rnacentral:rRNA from 1 species
GAUGAACGCUGGCGGCGUGCCUAAUACAUGCAAGUCGAACGAGGUGCUUUUGUAGCAAUACGAGAGUAUCCUAGUGGCGAACGGGUGAGUAACGCGUGGAUGACCUGCCCCAAAGUGUGGGAUAACAGUCCGAAAGGAUUGCUAAUACCUCAUGUGGUUAUCGGUUUUAGAAAGCGAUAACUAAAGCAGCAAUGCGCUUUGGGAGGGAUCUGCGUCCCAUCAGCUAGUUGGUGAGGUAACGGCUCACCAAGGCGACGACGGGUAGGGGACCUGAGAGGGUGGCCCCCCACAAUGGAACUGAGACACGGCCCAGACUCCUACGGGAGGCAGCAGUAGGGAAUCUUCCGCAAUGGACGAAAGUCUGACGGAGCAACGCCGCGUGAGUGAUGAAGGUUUUCGGAUCGUAAAACUCUGUUGUUAGGGAAGAACAAGUGCCGUUCGAAAGGGCGGCACCUUGACGGUACCUAACGAGAAAGCCACGGCUAACUACGUGCCAGCAGCCGCGGUAAAGU